AUCUCCAGCCGCCUUUUUUCUAUUGGAUGCCUGGGAAUCAGCCUCACGUCACUUUCUCCCAGUCCGUAGCAUCCACCCAGCUCCCUGCAUCUUCCAUGGUCGCUUCUCCAGCGUUCCUCCAGCUCAUCUAGGUUCAACCAUCGUCCUUGUUCCUUCUGCCCUGGACGUUGGUUUGGAGCUCGUUAGCCAUGGUGGCCGCCCACGCGCACCUCCUCUGUCUGCGCUCGGUCUGUGGUUCUUUGCAUCACCGGACCGCACCAGUGCUUGUCCAUGUUUCCCUGGUGGUCGGCGUUCGCUCGGACCGAGCUCCGGCCUCCGGCUACACUCACCAGCCACGCUC
rnacentral:misc_RNA from 1 species